AAGAUAAUUUGUACAAACAUGGCCCUUCCCAUGUGUCGGUCCAUUAGAAAUAAGAAAAAGACCAUUUUGAUUAAACUCUAUGAGCACCUAUGGAGCAACAACAUACAUGGAUUGUUACUGACUAGAGGGCAAUUGUUGAGUCACUGUUAUUGAAUCUGUUAACAUCCACAGAUAUAUGGCGGCCAUUUUGUGCUACAUGAGACACUGCGCGCUUUAUUUAUUGCAGCUUUAGCGCCGAUAGGACACUUUCAAGUCUACCCGUGCAGCCAGUAUAUCAACGUGAUGUAGCUAUUUAUGUCAUUAGAUAGCGUUAGUCCUACAUAUUGCUACUUUAGAGAAUGCUUCAGCUGUCCACUUCAUCAUCCACGACUGUUUUCUAAUUAUGAAACCCAGGAAUUAAAACACGUGAGCCCUGUAAGGUUAACAUCCUAAUGUCAUAGCAAUGGGCCGUUUGCAAGUUAUUGCCUCCUUUUGACCCAGUAUGUGGCCACAGCUUGUAAAUUUAACCACAGCUGAUCACUGGUCAUAAGGUCAGUAAGAUGGGGAAGAAAAAAAAAAAGCUGUUUUUUUUUUUGUCACUGUAGCAAUAACGCUGAGAAGUGCAGUAUAGUACAAGAGGAUGGAAAAUUGAUUGAUGCACAGUGGUAAAUUAAUGAACGCACACGCAACUGUAGUUAUAUCAAAUUAUCACAAUGUCAAAUAUUUUGAUGUGUUGUCAUAUAAUUCAGCAAGUAGGAUUUCUAUGCAUCUUUUCAAAGGCGCUAAACACAUACAAUUAAAAUAAGUGUGGUGAACUCAAAAUUUCAAGGCAUCAGCAUUUAAAUUUUUUUUAUAGUAGAUUGGCCUAAUAUGUGAACAUAUUUGUUACUAAAGUGUCAUUUUCUUUCUUUGCCUCAGCUUUUUGCCACAUUAAAGCAACCGCAUCCGAUACAGCUCAUCACUCUCAAACUCCCUCGUCAUGGCUGCGAUGCUACCCGAGGACCUGAAGACAAGCAUUCCAAUGCGCCUGCAGGUAUGCACGCUCACACACUGGCAGGUGCAGCCUUCUUUCGGCGCUGUAGCUUUUCAUUAACUUGUCUCGCACAAUCAAAGUCUGUCAGCGAGAGUGACAUCGGGAGAAAGGACAUGGGAGGAAAUGGAGUUUUCGCAGAUAGGCUGCGUUGUCAUUGCUGCAUCGAAAAUGGAACUUCCUUCUCUUGUCUGAUAACAUUGUUUCUGACUUUUUGUUGUUGUUGUGUCUCGAGGCCUUUCACGGCCAGCACUUCAACAACACACAAAUACAGAAGUGGAAGUGGAAGCAGUUGUUUUCCUUGGCAGACCAAACCGCCGGGGUCAAAGACAUGUGACUCAACCAGGAAGUAUCAGGCCGCAUAGACAGGAAGGAACCCCAGAUUGGUCAGACUGGACAGAUGAGCUCCAGCUGACUCCCGGCCAGCUCAGCGGAGCAAGCGGAGAAGUGCAGGUGUCACAUUGUCGUGGUUGUGACUAACCCAAUUGCACCUGGAUCGCAGGGGACACACCCUCAACGCCGUAAACAACAUUUAUUUGGACUGUAAUGAAGACUCGAUGGGCUCCGGGCUGUACCUAGCGGCGACGGGGUGACACUGAUGAAUGGCUGAAGAUGCGCUCACUGCAGUCGGGCAGGAGAGAGACAACUGUCAGCCUGCUGUGUUGUAUGCAUGUGUGCGCAUCCCAUAAGGAAGAUGCGUGUGAUGCGGCGUCACGGCCAGAUGCCUUCAGAAGAUGUUGGAGAGAGAAAGAGGAAGGCGUGAUGUGAAGACCAAAAAAAAAAAAAUAUCCAGAGCUGAGGACUGUUCCCAUCUCUGACAGCUGUGUCAGCGCAGGAGACAGCAUCGAGGACGCACGACGCGCGCGUACAAUUAUAGGAACACAUGCGUGAACACAAACACACACACGGAGCUGUGGAAGUCUCCAUUUUGCAUCCGGGACCUCAGAGGAUGGUGACAGGCUUUCUCUUCUCUUCUCAGUCUCGUGGCGUGAUUGGAUGGGACACCGAGACCCACCACUUAGGCAGGGAAACUGACGGCUCUUGACUUUCCGAGAUGGCUUGCGCCGAGUGUGAGAAAAUGGAUUUUGCCUUUUUCCAUCUGCUGCCCGCCGUGUGGAACCUUCCCUGGACGUGCUGUCAGCACCUUGAGCCUUUCCAGGGAAAACAAGCAACACUUUUGGGAUCUUCACCCUCAAGCGCUCGCACAGUCUUCCUCCAUGAGCGUCGGGAUUUGUCAUAACUGCCAGCGUAACUGAGACUUGACACUCGGAACCGCAUGGAAAAUCUCACAUCAUAAAUUGGCUGGUAUCAUAUCGUGGCUCCGGGCUCAUAUCAACAAUCUGCAAAACCCAAUCCAUCUCAAGAUCUAUAUCAGCGACAUGCCAACAUAUCUAAGUAGUCUUCCAUUUGCUAGCUUUAGUUUCAAGAUUUAUUAUUUAUUUUUUGCGUAAAUUAACCUUAAGUACCU